rnacentral:rRNA from 1 species
UCCGCAGGCGGGCAAUUAAGUCAGAGGUGAAAUCCCACAGCUCAACUGUGGAACUGCCUUUGAUACUGGUUGUCUUGAGUUAUAGUGAAGUAGAUAGAAUAUGUAGUGUAGCGGUGAAAUGCAUAGAUAUUACAUAGAAUACCGAUUGCGAAGGCAGUCUACUAACUAUAUACUGACGCUGAUGGACGAAAGCGUGGGGAGCGAACAGGAUCAGAUACCCUGGUAGUCC